CUGAAUGUUUUCGGUUUCGUGAUAUAGUCCCGGCGUUUCUCAUAGGAAGAAGUGCAUCAUGUUCUAGUCCCCCCAGAGCCAAAAGUUGCUAGCAUUGAUUGGAAUUUUAAUAGCUGGGGAGAUUGGAUUGUGGAAUUUUUGUGAUGUACUACAUGGAGAAACUUUCGAAAGAGGAGGGGAUUCAGAAAACACUUAGCAAGAAGUAUAAUUUGCAAUAUAGAGCUCAUAUAAUCAAGACAUUUGCGAAACAUAGGCACACUUGGAUCUCUACAGAGUUAGAGUUUUAGAAAUUUAUUUAGGGCUUAGG